CAAGUCGAGCGGAGAGAGGUAGCUUGCUACUGAUCUUAGCGGCGGACGGGUGAGUAAUGCUUAGGAAUCUGCCUAUUAGUGGGGGACAACAUUUCGAAAGGAAUGCUAAUACCGCAUACGUCCUACGGGAGAAAGCAGGGGAUCUUCGGACCUUGCGCUAAUAGAUGAGCCUAAGUCGGAUUAGCUAGUUGGUGGGGUAAAGGCCUACCAAGGCGACGAUCUGUAGCGGGUCUGAGAGGAUGAUCCGCCACACUGGGACUGAGACACGGCCCAGACUCCUACGGGAGGCAGCAGUGGGGAAUAUUGGACAAUGGGCGCAAGCCUGAUCCAGCCAUGCCGCGUGUGUGAAGAAGGCCUUAUGGUUGUAAAGCACUUUAAGCGAGGAGGAGGCUACUUUAGUUAAUACCUAGAGAUAGUGGACGUUACUCGCAGAAUAAGCACCGGCUAACUCUGUGCCAGCAGCCGCGGUAAUACAGAGGGUGCAAGCGUUAAUCGGAUUUACUGGGCGUAAAGCGCGCGUAGGCGGCUAAUUAAGUCAAAUGUGAAAUCCCCGAGCUUAACUUGGGAAUUGCAUUCGAUACUGGUUAGCUAGAGUGUGGGAGAGGAUGGUAGAAUUCCAGGUGUAGCGGUGAAAUGCGUAGAGAUCUGGAGGAAUACCGAUGGCGAAGGCAGCCAUCUGGCCUAACACUGACGCUGAGGUGCGAAAGCAUGGGGAGCAAACAGGAUUAGAUACCCUGGUAGUCCAUGCCGUAAACGAUGUCUACUAGCCGUUGGGGCCUUUGAGGCUUUAGUGGCGCAGCUAACGCGAUAAGUAGACCGCCUGGGGAGUACGGUCGCAAGACUAAAACUCAAAUGAAUUGACGGGGGCCCGCACAAGCGGUGGAGCAUGUGGUUUAAUUCGAUGCAACGCGAAGAACCUUACCUGGCCUUGACAUAGUAAGAACUUUCCAGAGAUGGAUUGGUGCCUUCGGGAACUUACAUACAGGUGCUGCAUGGCUGUCGUCAGCUCGUGUCGUGAGAUGUUGGGUUAAGUCCCGCAACGAGCGCAACCCUUUUCCUUAUUUGCCAGCCAGUAAUGUCGGGAACUUUAAGGAUACUGCCAGUGACAAACUGGAAGAAGGGCGGGACCACUUCAAGUCAUCAUGGCCCUUACGGCCAGGG
rnacentral:rRNA from 1 species